UACAGAGGGGGCAAGCGUUGUUCGGAAUUACUGGGCGUAAAGGGCGCGUAGGCGGCCUGCUAAGUCGAACGUGAAAUCCCUGGGCUCAACCCAGGAACUGCGUCCGAUACUGGUUGGCUUGAAUCCGGGAGAGGGAUGUGGAAUUCCAGGUGUAGCGGUGAAAUGCGCAGAUAUCAGGAGGAACACCGGUGGCGAAGGCGGGUCUCUGGGCCGUUACUGACGCUGGAGGAGCGAAAGCGUGGGGAGCGAACAGG
rnacentral:rRNA from 1 species